GAUAGGGACCCUGACGUGCAUAUUUACAUCCUUGAUCGUAGUAGCAGGAGUUCUGACAGCCAUUGGUUGUUGCACUAUCCCCUGUGUAAGAGGACUAGUACAGUGGUUAAUCGAAACUGCACUAUUGAAACAAAUGACCAUGGAGCCACCACCUUACUCAGAUAAGAGGAUGAUAUUA